UAGCACACUUAGAAUUUUGACGCAUAAACUGCGUCACUGCGAAAAGGCUGCACGAAAUGCAUGGGUUCCUGUUUCUUCACAGUGCUGCAAUGACCUUGUAGAAGUAAGCAUCCCUUGCCUCUAUGCUGUUUUCUCCUCCGAUGCUUUCAAGAGAGUUGGUGUUGAUCCCAGAGUCGCAAUCACCAUUCCCCAUCGUUGCCAUUUCGCCAACAAGCCAUAGACCACAACUUACCUACCUAUCAUAAAUGCCAACUUAUUUUUCAGGUAUAUAUAUGAGCAUAUCUAUCAAGAAUAAUUAUUUACAUUUCAAAAACUUUAUCCAGAAGCUGAUAAAUUGUUAUAUUUCUAUACUGAACUAAUUAAAGUAAACAUGUAUAUAGUAAUCACAUUUUUGGCUGUUAUAAAGUAGCAUAUGCUGAUUCAUUGUUUUCUCUAAUGUAAUUGCAGCUUGUAGAUGGCUGAGAACGUUGGUUAUGGUUACGCAACCUGAGGUUUUUACAAUUCGUCAAAGCUUCAGGAUACAGGAGUGUGUGUUGUGUAUUGUAUGUUGUCAGUUAAUAAUUUGAGCUCCUUAACUAUAAAGGCUCAUAAAUAAGUUACAAUUAAUAUUGUAACAACUUUAUUAUUAUCUAUCAAAUAACUUCUAUGUCUUCCUGAAAAAUAUCCUUUUGGUUGUUUUAUGACAAUAAUUUAUAUAUAUAGAUGUUCGCGAUAUGGGUUCUUGGCCUAGCUAGCUGCAUAAAAUUAACUAUAUGUGAUCUUGUUCAUCAUUGACAGUUAAUUGAAUUGGUUUGUCGUAUAGUUUCCUUGACCUUUUGACCACGCUCUUGAUCACUGCGUUAGCGACAAUAGCAGAGCACGUGUUAAAGGUUGCUACAAAUUUCUAUAUGACAUAAUACUACAAAAAGAAAAAUGUUAAAGAGAAUUCUAUAACCGUGUAUGCAUAACAUGAUUUUUCUAGAUAAUAAAUUACGGGAAAGUUUAAGAUAUUUUUUAUUAAUAAAUAUUGAUUGUUAGUUUGUUAGUAAGAGGGAUCAAAUUAUGUGAUCUUUCCUUCUUUUCCUUUUUAUCUUUCACCACCCAACAUCCUUAUAUCACCUCGGCCGGAAAGUUGAAGGAAGUUGGUGGAUAUUUAGAGGCCACUGUUAUUGCACUUAUAAGGGUGGGAAAUCAAUACACAAAAACUAUUUGGACCAACUCAUUAAAAGUCAAAAUUUUAAUAUGAAAAAGAAAAAAAACUAAAAUGCGGGCCAGUGUCCAUCAACUGGCGUGUUUAUUGUUGAAUAUAUAAAGCUCAUUUAAAUGCAACCUAUGCAAACUGAUUUUAACUGAGGACUUAAAUGAGGUGCUAACUCUUAUUUCCUUACGGAUAAUGCUUUUAUAAUAGUAAUUUUUUUUCUUCCAUAGCUUGUGAAAAUUCAGACUACUUAUGGAAGACUAUUUUGUUAUCUUCUUUCAUAUUUUCUCCAUGCCGUAAUUAAAACUAGUUUCGGCUUUGUCUUAGAAAAAACGAAUCCUCUUAUACAUAUCAUUUUCUGCUUAAAUUUUAUGUUUAUCUCUAGGAAAUUAAUCAACUACUUGAAACAAGGUUGAGCUGAUGAAAUGCCUCAGGAUGAAUAAUGAGUAACUCGAUCAUUUUAGUAAUUUAAAUAAUUAAUCUCAACAAUGAUGGAAAAAUUAAUUCUUCAUAUCACAAUUAUAAAUAUAUUAAAUAUUAAUUUUUUAUUUUUGUAAUUAAGAAUUAAAAUUAUUUGCUUCACUCUAAUAAACAAUUUUCUGAUUUUUGUGUGUUUGUCUAAGCUGCUUCUUUUUUUUUAAAAAAAAUUCUAUUUAUUUUUAGAAACAAACCAUAUCUAUUUCUUAAAAGAGAAUUUAUAUCAAGUAAGGAGAGAAAUUAACAGGAGUAGUUUUGUCAUUUUCAAAGAAUACUAGGUGCACCAGCAAUAAUGCUGGGUGCACCUAGCAACACUCCUACAAAGCCCAGCAUUUGGUACACGCUGAAAGCCUUAUUUACAGCCCAAACCAAUGACCGGAAAACACAUCAAAGCGAAGUUGGCAAACUAUACUUGUAUUUUGUGUAGGUUUUAAAAGAGAAUAAAAUUUGCUGUAAAUAAAAAAGAGAGAGAAUAACAUUUCGGUUUUAUGAUACCGUGGAUAAUUUAUUUAACAAUUUUCUUUGCAGAAUUCAAAAUAAUGUUAAUUAAAAAUCUUGGAGAAUACAAAAAAUGUUUUGUUAGUCCCCAUAAUAUUUCAGUUUCACUCCAACCUAAUGGCGAAAUCAGAAUUUUUUUAAGGGAGGCGAAAAUUAAUCACUUGCUAAAUAAAAUGAGUAUUGACUAAAUUCCCAAUAAUUAUUUAAAAUACUAAAGACUUGAAUAUAUUUAUAACAACUGGUCAUGGUUUUUCUAUAAUCACAUUUGGAUUUUUAGUUGCUAGCUUUUUUUUAUAGUAAAUAAAUAUUUAUUUGUAUUCUCUACUAAGGAACAUGCUAUAAGCUAGCUGCAUGUGCUUAAAGAAUAGAAUAUAAAGUUUCAUCUCUUCCCAAGUUAGAACACGAGCCACGUGUGUUUUUAUUCAUGUAAAUGAGUUUUUCUUUUCCCACUUAUAAGCUUAUGGCUAAUUGUCUAAUUCAAGCAUUCCUUAUGCUAUUAUGCGGUUAUGCCAUAUUACUACAUUAGCUUCUUUCAAUAAAACGUUGAUACGUCAAAUGCGAUUAUGGCUAAUUGGCUAAUUCAAGUCAUUAUGUCUAAUUCAUUUUUAUUGAAACAUAAAUAUUAAGCUAUAAGCAUGAUUAUGUUGGUGGUUAUCUUUCCACCUAAUAAACGUGAUUGUUUCCAAUUUUCACCGUGAGUGUGAUUCAAUCAUGAGGAUUGAGGAGUACUAUUACAAAAAAAAAAGGUUUUUUAAUACGCUGGAACAAUGAGGAUUCUAUCAAAACUGUCAUUAACAAAUGAUCGAUGAUAUUUUAGUAAAUAAGUGAAUGCGUUAAUUAUGGUUUUCAUAGGACACAUUUUAAUGUUAUUUUUCACUGCAUGUUUGCUUCACCAUAUGCUUUAUUUGUUUGUUACUAACAAUGCGAGUAAUGGAGGUAAGCACACACCACAAUCAAAGAACAACUCCACUCGAAGCAAAGUGAAUCAAAGAUCCAAACUUCUCUGAUCUCAACUUCCACUUCAGCUUCACGAGCCAUGGCCAACAAACGAUUGCUGCGCCACGCAACUCAUCGACGGCGACGGCGAGUUCAACAUCGUCGGCCUCGACAACUUCAUCAGAACCCUCAAUCUCACCUCCUGCGGCCUCUCCUACACAGUUGUCGCAAUCAUGGAACCUCAGAGUAGCGGUGCGUUCAUUCCUCCUUCAAUCUUGCUGAUUCUGAUUGCUUGGUUUACUUCACUCGAACUUGUGUUGUGACUCUUUUGUGUUUGUUGAGCUUGGAUCGAUUAAUUGAAGUGUGUUUUUCGAGUUUACGUUUGCUCUGAAGUAGAGUGGGUCAUGACGGAUAUCUUCAUUUUUUUAUUUGCAACAAAUUUUUACUUGAUUUUAGGGGUUGAGCUAGAUUGAAGUUAGUUUUGGUUGUGUUGCACCAAAAUCAUAAUCAGAGCCACCAGAACCCAAGUCGUUCUCGGUUUGUGUGCCCGUGUUCUGUUCUGGAAUUGAAUAUUGAAAGUUUUUUUAUUUAUUAUUUUUGGUUAUUUUGUAUUAAUAGGUGAGAAGGGAAGGAGAAUGGGGGAACUUACCUCUGUAGUUUAGAAGAGGUUCAAGUUUCCCGAGAACAGUGUUGAACUUUAUGCUUCUGCUUAAACUUUAUGUUUAUCUCUAGGAAAUUAAUCAACAACUUGAAACAAGGUUGAGCUGAUGAAAUGCCUAAUGCCUCGGGAUGAAUAAUGAGUAACUCGAUCAUUUUAGUAAUUUAAAUAAUUAAUCUCAACAUUGAUGAAAAAAUUACUUCUUCACAUUGCACAAUUAUAAAUAUAUUAAAUAUUAAUUGUUGAAAAAUUAAGAAUUAAAAUUAUUUACUUCACUCUAAUAAACAAUUUUCUGAUUUUUUGUGUGUUUGUCUGCUUGUUUUUUUUUUUUUUAAAUUCUAUUUAUUUUUAGAAACAAACCAUAUCUAUUUCUUAAAGGAGAUUUUAUAUCAAAAACAUUUAUUUUAAAAUUAUAUUUUCUUAACGCAAAUUAAAUACAUUACAAGCAAUGCACUAUCUCAUGAAUGGGUAGCUCCUCUUUGAACUUGUCCUCAUAGUUUGCAAAGCUGUAACCUCCACCUUCAUUUGGAGAUUAUUCAUUAAUCAUAUAUCAUAAUAUAUACAUAAACAGUUGGCACAUGAAAAGGUGAGAUAGAUAGCCUUUACAUUAAAAAAUUCACUAAGAGGAGUAUGUAGAUGGGCUUGGGGUUUUCGAACGCCAUCCCAAAUCCGAGGAAAUCAUAUCAUGAUAAGAACUAAUGAUGAAGAAAUACAAGAAACCACAAUAAAGAAAAAAAAAAAAAACUCAAAUUUUAUGGGAAUUGAAUCACACCUUCUGAAUAUCUUCUCUUGAAAAAACCAUCUCUUAAUUUAAUUUCAGAAUACAUAUUCUGGAAAUGUAUAAAAGUGAUCUAAAGGAUAAAUGGAAAAAUGAAAAAAUAAAAACAAUUGAAUGUAACGUCACAUAGUAUGUGAUCAAAUUUUGUGUUCAAAUAACAAAUGAACAGCUCCACUAAAAUGCUAAUUAAACUGAUGUUAACUGGGGUUUGAGUGAAUUCUCAUCUGUAUACAGCAACCACAAUUCUUUGAAGCAUAUCCUAGGUACUGGUAUAUGAUGCUGUCAAGACACUGUCCCAGGCUUAAUAAGUAAACUGUUUCUAUGACCUUAAAUCUGUUGUCCUAGAUUUAGCACCAGCAUGUGCAAUAGCGCAAAGACCACCCCUAUUGUUGACCUUUUCAUAAAUGAUAUAUAUAAGAGGAUUCGUUUUUUCUAAGACAAAGCCGAAACUAGUUUUAAUUACGGCAUGGAGAAAAUAUGAAAGAAGAUAACAAAAUAGUCUUUCAUAAGUAGUCUGAAUUUUCAUAAAAUAUGGAAAAAAAAUACUAUUAUAAAAGCAUUAUCCGUAAGGAAAUAAGAGUUAGCACCUCAUUUAAGUCCUCAGUUAAAAUCAGUUUGCAUAGGUUGCAUUUAAAUGAGCUUUAUAUAUUCAACAAUAAACACGCCAGUUGAUGACACUGGCCCGCAUUUUAGUUUUUUUCUUUUUCAUAUUAAAAUUUUGACUUUUAAUGAGUUGGUCCAAAUAGUUUUUGUGAAUUGGCUCAAGAAACACCAGCGUAGCAUACCGAUGCUUGUAACGGGGAAGGGUCUUAGUGAUCAAGUAUACAAUUGCCCUUGAGUACUCUGAGUUACAAAUCAUAGCCAAGGUUCAAAGACAUCUUCAUAUGAUUGAUGCCAAGACACCCACCUACACAUACUUGUAUUGAUUUCCCACCCUUAUAAGUGCAAUAACAGUGGCCUCUAAAUAUCCACCAACUUCCUUCAACUUUCCGGCCGAGGUGAUAUAAGGAUGUUGGGUGGUGAAAGAUAAAAAGGAAAAGAAGGAAAGAUCACAUAAUUUGAUCCUUCUUACUAACAAACUAACAAUCAAUAUUUAUUGAUAAAAAAAAUCUUAAACUUUCCCGUAAUUUAUUAUCUAGAAAAAUCAUGUUAUGCAUACACGGUUAUAGAAUUCUCUUUAACAUUUUUCUUUUUGUAGUAUUAUGUCAUAUAGAAAUUUGUAGCAACCUUUAACACAUACUCUGCUAUUGUCGCUAACGCAGUGAUCAAGAGCGUGGUCAAAAGGUCAAGGAAACUGUACGACAAACCAAUUCAAUUAACUGUCAAUGAUGAACAAGAUCACAUAUAGUUAAUUUUAUGCAGCUAGGCCAAGAACCCAUAUCGCGAACAUCUAUAUAUAUAAAUUAUUGUCAUAAAACAACCAAAAGGAUAUUUUUCAGGAAGACAUAGAAGUUAUUUGAUAGAUAAUAAUAAAGUUGUUACAAUAUUAAUUGUAACUUAUUUAUGAGCCUUUAUAGUUAAGGAGCUCAAAUUAUUAACUGACAACAUACAAUACACAACACACACUACUGUAUCCUGAAGCUUUGACGAAUUGUAAAAACCUCAGGUUGCGUAACCAUAACCAACGUUCCCAGCCAUCUACAAGCUGCAAUUACAUUAGAGAAAACAAUGAAUCAGCAUAUGCUACUUUAUAACAGCCAAAAAUGUGAUGAGUAUAUACAUGUUUAAUUUAAUUAGUUCAGUAUAGAAAUAUAACAAUUUAUCAGCUUCUGGAUAAAGUUUUUGAAAUAUAAAUAAUUAUUCUUGAUAGAUAUGCUCAUAUAUAUACCUGAAAAAUAUGUUGGAAUUUAUGAUAGGUAGGAAAGUUGUGGUCUAUGGCUUGUUGGCGAAAUGGCAACGAUGGGGAAUGGUGAUUGCGACUCUGGGAUCAACACCAACUCUCUUGAAAGCAUCGGAGGAGAAAACAGCAUAGAGGCAAGGGAUGCUUACUUCUACAAGGUCAUUGCAGCACUGUGAAGAAACAGGAGCCCAUGCAUUUCGUGCAGCCUUUUCGCAGUGACGCAGUUUAUGCGUCAAAAUUCUAAGUGUGCUAAACUUACCGCAUGGACCAUUUUUCUCGUUUUCAUGUUCAGGAUAACUGUGGUCGUAUUCAGCAACGGUCACAGUGAUCAAAAGCAGCAGGAACACACCAACGAACUUGCUCAUCUUAACUAAAUGAAUUUGAUUGAUGAUUUACUCUUUUUAAGUAGCUUCAAGCUUGAAAUACAACUCACAAAAAUUGCUUUGCACCAUGCUCUAUAUAUACUGCUAGAUUAGCCAGAUAAACUAGUAAACUAUGCACAAAACCUUGUUCACAAGCAUCUGGAUUUGCAUUCUUUAAUUUGAUGGGAGAAGGUAGGGUUACAGUUUCAUGCCCGCAGAUUCUUACCGUAGAGAAGAAAGCAGGCCUGAGAAUAUUUUGAAUCAGGAAGCACUGCACAGCCUUGGUACGUAUUUGGUAUUACAAUAUCUUACUCAACAGCUUGUAUGUCUUACUUAUGGAGGCUUUCUGUUAUAUAUAUAUAAAGAAUCGAAAAAUAAAUACUUUUUCAACGAUGCUAUUUUGUGAAACGUCAUGCUAUACUUAGACGGUCCAUGGUUUAUUAAUAAUAUAAAUAAUGAAGGUGGCUCGGAGGUUGUCACAGAAGUCAAACUAGUCUUGAAAACUGAAAGUUUAUCUCAAAUGUGCUUGUUUGUUUAAGGAGGAUGUUUUUCAUAAGAGAAUUUCAUUAUUUAUAAAUUUAAUUCUGAGAUUUAUUUAAAUAAAUUUAUAACAAAUUAUACGAAGGUCAGAAUAAAUCAAGAUUUUUUUUUGAUUGUAUGAAUUUAAAUACAUAAAAAUAUAGACGAAAUCUGAUUGCUUGACCUUUUAAUACCAACACCCUUCUUUGUUUUCGUCAAGAAUAAGAAUAAGGUUUUAUUGCUGUAUAUUUAGAAAACAAGAAUCUAGUGUAGUUUAUGCAAAACAACAAUUGAUAUACAACACAUCAUCUAGUUCGAGCAGGGGCGAAAAUAUUUAUAUAUAUAUAUAUAUAUAUAUAUAUAUAUAUAUAUAUAUAACCAAAUAAUUUACUUUUUGUUGUAAGUCCCCUUAACUUUACAUAAUACAAAUAUAAAAUUCAAGCUCCUUAAUCUUUAAUCUUAAUUUUCACUUUUACACGUUAGUCCUUCCUCCGUCAGUCACCUCUCCUUGUUGCUUCUUGUGCUCCUCAAUCCUCACGAUUGAAUCACACUCUGUUACGAAUAGGACUAAAUUAUGCUAUGCUAACUACACUAACAGGUAUUUCAAUAUUUUUCUCUGUUGUUGUAUUCAUGAUUUGUGGUAUUUAUAAUGAAGUACAAGUCAUGGUUGUUGUUGCCAUUCAUUGGCCAAUUGGUGCAGAAUAUUCUAGAAUAACAUAAAAAAGGAUAAGUAUCAUGGGUGGUUAUACCAAAAUGUUGAUAUGGUGGUGAGAUUGCUUUUCACAAUUGACAAUCCUACCUUGCAUUCCUUUACUCGCAAUCUCUGAGGUAUGUUGGCUUAUUGACUAUCCUCAUGGGCCUACUAUGUGCUGGUAUAGUAUUUCUCUCAUUAUCUAUCGUUGGAAAAUCAACCUUUUCCUCAAGGUUGGACAAUAAAAAAAAAUAGAAACAGGGUUAAAAAAAAACAUGAGUGAAGUUGCUUUGUUUGUGGGCUGGUUUGGGCCCUGACAAUGACAACCCUAAGGGUUAUCAACAUCAUGAAAGGCGAGAAGGUUGGGUGGUGACCUGCGUCACAGAGCAUUGAUCCUAUCCUUGUGCCUUAUCUUUGCUUGGCUGUGGCUCUUGGAAGCACUAGCAGCUCUAACUUCUGCUCCAAUGGGUGCAAGCCACGAAGGGAGCUCACCAAAUUGAAGAGAUGAUGUUGUUGGUGCAUGGUUAGAAGAAGAAGAAGCAACAAGAGGGAGUGAAAUUUGUGAACGAUGAACUGUACGGCUAGGACCAUGACAACCGAACACCACUGUCAAUGAAGCGCAGACCCGCGUCAGCCUUGGUGGUGGUGGAAGCGGUGGCUUUGGUGGAGGCUGUGGCUUCAAUGGAUACAACCGUGGUGGUGGUGGGGGUGAUGGUGGCAGAUAUGGUGGUCGUGGAAGUGAGGCAAGGGUUUGGGAAAGGGAGGAGCCAAGGGGCACAGAACGGUGCUGCGAGACAACAUGCAGGGUAUCACGAAACCCGACGUCAAGAGAAUCAAUGGCAUAUUCUAAGAAAAAACCCGUAAAGUCCUUAAGAACUUUCUAGAGAAUUUUAUUUGCAAUGUUGUUACGUACACCGAGCACAUGCUAGGAGAAAGAUGGUUACCACUAUGGAUGUUGUUGAUGCUCGCAAGAGGAAAGUCAGGGCUCUCUAUGAUUUUGGUGCUCGUCGUGGUGGGUAUAACCGUGAUGGAGGAGUGUGGCUCGAGCCAUAGGGCACCCCACAGGGAGUCAUCACCUUCAUCAACACACGCUCCUCCGCUAGAAUGUGCGACUUCUACAUGGAUAUUUGUUUCCAGUUUCGGGUGUGAGGGGGGAGAUGGUGGAUGAAGAGUUUCCAUGGUAUCGCACAAGCCUAACAAGCGGUUCUGAGUACUCACAAAAUAGGGAUUGAACAGGAUGUUCAUAAGAAGGUAGGUGGUGAAAUAGAAGGGAAGAAACCUGUGGGGGGUAGAAUUACUUUUUGUUGUAAGUCCCCUUAACUUUACAAAAUACAAAUAUAAAAUUCAAACUCCUUAAUCUUAAAUCUUAAAUCUUAAUUUUCACUUUUACACGCUAGUCCUUACUCUGUUAUUUACCUUUCAUUGUUGCUUCUUGCUUAGAGACCAAACCAUGAAGUAGCCUGUUUAUGUUUUUUUGGUGAACCUAAACAAGUUUUCCCCAAAUUUUUAAUAUUUAUUUAAGAGAAACAAAAUAAGGAGAUAUAUUAUUUGUGGACCUGAACAAGUUUUCCCCAAAUUUGAGUGAAUGGAGGAGAAAAGUGAAUUCUUUUUAUUUUUUUAGAACAUCAAACAACUCUGUAGAAGAUUAAAAAUAAAUAAAAAUAAUUUAUAUGAAGAAAAAAAACUAUGAAGUAACAAAAAUUUGAAUUUGAAUUUAAUUUUAAUCUAUAUAAAAAUGAUUUUAGUAUAAUUUAUUUAUUUAUAUAUCUACAUAUUGAAAUAAGAGGAGAGAAUUUUUUUCACUUCGUCCUUCCUUAUUUAUCUCUAUUCAAACAUUAUAUUUUUUUACUCUAUUUUUCUUUUACUUGUAUCUUUUUCAUUUCUUUCUCUCUUAUUUCUUUCUUCUCUUUUUUUUUCCAUUUUUAAUUGUAAUGGAGCAUUAGGAAAAAAACUAUACUUUUGUAUUUUGUGUAAAUUUUAAAAUGGAUUAACAUUUCAGUUUAAUGAUACCCGGGGCUAAUUAAUUUAACAAUUUCGUUUGAAGAAUUCAAGAUUUUGUUAAUUAAGAAUGUUAGAGAGAAUACAAAUUAACGUUGUUUUGCAUCAGCUACACGAGAUUUUGUCUAUUUUUUAUCAUUUAAAUUAGUACAGUAAAACAUUUUUCUUGAUCUAAUGACUUUCGUAUAAUUUGUUAUUAAUUUAUUUCAAUAAAUCUCAGAAUUAAAUUUAUGAUAAAUUCUCUUAUGAUAAGCAUCCUCCUUAAACUAACACAUUUGGGAUUCACUUUCAGUUUCCAUCACUAGUUUGACUUCUGCAUGUGACAACUCUCCAAGUCACCAUCAUUUAUCUUAUUAAUAAACUAUAUAAGUACAGCAGGGCUUGUCACAAAAUAGUAUCUUUUAUAGUAAUUAUUUACAUAAGUACCAGUAAUAAUUUUUAAUCAAAUGAUUUAGAAUUAAAAUCUUGAUUAAUCAUUAAACAUAAAAUACAUUAUAUUGAGAAAAAAAUCUAUUUUAUGUGUAUUUAUGAUCUCUAAUAAAAAUUAAUCACUUUUUCCUAUCAAAAACUAUUUGGUAUUAAUAUUAUCAUUAGAAAAUAAUAACAUCGUUGAAAAAAGUACAAAAGUACAGUAUUUGUUUUUCUAUUAUUUAAAUCUGUAAGAAUUUGUAAUACCAACUACGCAUCAAGGUAGGUAGAUCAUCGUGUGCUUCAUCUCUUAGUAAGAAUCUGCGGGCAUGCAUGCAGCUCUAGCCUCGAUCUUUUCUCCCAUGAAACUAAAGAAUGCAAAAUCCAGAUGCUAGCUUGCGAACCAGGUUUAAUUUGGUACACAGUUAUUUAUUUGGCUAGCUAGCUAAUCCUGGCAAUAUAUAUAUAGACCAUAGUGCUAGCCAAUUUAAAUUUGUGAGUUGCAUUCGAAGCUUGAAACUAGCUAGCUACUUAAAAAGAGUAAAUCAUCAAUCAAAUUCAUUUAGUUAAGAUGGGCAAGUUUGUUGGGUUGUUCCUGCUGGUUUUGGUCAGUGUGGCCGUUGCUGAAUACGACAACGGUUAUCCUGAACAUGAAAACGAGAAAAAUGGCCCAUGCGGCAAGUUUAGCACACUUAGAAUUUUGACGCAUAAACUGCGUCACUGCGAAAAGGCUGCACGAGAUGCGUGGGCUCCUGUUUCUUCACAGUGCUGCAAUGACCUUGUAGAAGUAAGCAUCCCUUGCCUCUAUGCUGUUUUCUCCUCUGAUGCUUUCAAGAGAGUUGGUGUUGAUCCCAGAGUCGCAAUCACUAUUCCCCAUCGUUGCCAUUUCGCCAACAAGCCAUAGACCACAACUUACCUACCUAUCAUAAAUGAAAACAUAUUUUUCAGGUAUAUAUAUGAGCAUAUAUCUAUCAAGAAUAAUUAUUUAUAUUUCAAAAACUUUAUCUAGAAGCUGAUAAAUUGUUAUAUUUCUAUACUGAACUAAUUAAAUUCAUCACAUUUUUGGCUGUUAUAAAGUAGCAUAUGCUGAUUCAUUGUUUUCUCUAAUGUAAUUGCAGCUUGUAGAUGGCUGAGAACGUUGGUUAUGGUUACGCAACCUGAGGUUUUUACAAUUCGUCAAAGCUUCAGGAUACAGUAGUCUGUGUUGUGUACUGUAUGUUUGUUGUCCGUUAAUAAUUUGAGCUUGUUAUCAAGGCUCACAAAUAAAUUACCUUGUAAUGUACAAUUUUAUUCUCUAUCAAAUAAAUUCACGUUUUCUUAAAAUAUAUCUUUUUGGUUGUUUCGAAUUUAAUUUUAUUUGGAUGGAUUGGUGUAUCUUAGAGAAUAUGAGUGUGUUUGAGUAAACUAUGGAAAAUCUUAAAAUUUAAUUUGUUUGCAAAUGAAUCUCAACCCUAUGUUUGAGUAAACAUUGGUCCAUUAGAUUUGUGCAUUAGAACAACUAUUAUCGUAUAUUGCACAAGAACUCAAACAUGUACUAUAAAGGAUUCUGUGACAGAAUAAUUCUGUUAUGUAUUUCAUGAUUUACUAAGACUUAAAUAUAUAUAAGAGGGUUAUAGUGAAAUCUCUUAAGAUUGAACUAUACAGAUUGAUUCUCCAAAUAAAACUCCUAAGAUUACGUCUUGACUAAAAGCAAAUUAAUUUACAUGAUCACAGACUAAUAAUACGGGAUAAUAUAAUAAUUGCACAUAAUUUCACACUGUUAUCUCAUCAUGAUAUCAUUAUCCCCAUCAAGUUGGAGCAUGUAAAUUAGAUAUCCCCAACUUGCACGACAAAGAGUUGAAAUGAGUGGGAUCAAGAGCCUUAGUAAAAAUAUCAGCUAAUUGUGCAUGUGUAGGAACAUAAGUAGGUGCAAUAUUGCCAGUGAGAUACUCGUCACGAAUGAAGUGGCAAUCCACUGAUGGGUCACCCCCUCUAUCAUCCAUUGUCAUAUCACCACUUUCUUUAGUACCUCCUGUGUGAUUCGUUUCUUCUACACCUUCAGUCACACUCACUUCGAACUCCUUCCACUGUUUUGAAUGGGAAAACUCCAUAUGAGAUGCUAUAUGAGCAGUAAACUGCAUAUGAACAUUUGAGAAUAUUUGGCUCCUUAUGUUACGCCCAUAAUCAAAGAAGGAAUGGUGAUAAAUUUGCAAGUAGGAGUAAGAACUGUGUUUUUAUUGGCUGCCUAUAUGGCAAGAAAGGGUGGAAGUUGUUUGACUUAGAAACAAAAGAGAUUUUUGUCUUUCGAGAUGUUGAAUUCGUUGAGACCAAGUAUCCUUUUUUUAUUGAUGUUACUACCCAAGAAGAUGUUCCUCUUAAAAAUUGGAGGUAUGAAGAAAUUGUUGGUGAUGUGACUGAUGGUGUAGAAGAAACGGAUCACAUAAGAGGUACUGAAGAAAGUGGUAAUAUGGCAAUGGAUGAUAGAGGGGGUAAGCCAAAUAUGGGGUUCGAUGAACAAGGUGUUACUCUCCAAAAUAUGGACACACAAGAUAUAAUGCUUCCAUCUAUAUCACCAACCGAACCAUUAUUUGGUAGAGGACACAGAACCAAACAACCUUCUACUCGAUUGCAAGAUUAUGUGACAAAUACCAUCAAAAGAUUGAGCCCAUCCAACUGUUCACCUUCUCCAAAGGCAGACUCGGGUGCGCCCUAUCCCAUAACUGAUUAUGUGAAUUAUGACCAUUUUUCUCUUGCACAUCGUGCUUUUCUUGCAUCCAUUUCACAGGAAAAGGAGCCUGUCACUUAUACUAACGCGGUGAAAGACAAUCGAUGGAGAAAUGUAAUAAAAAGUGAGAUACAUGCCCUUGAAACCAAUGAAGCUUGGACAGUCACACAAUUACCUUCAGGAAAGAAAGCACUUGGCUGCAAGUGGGUGUACAAAAUAAAGAAUAAAGCUGAUGGAAGUGUAGAAUGGUUCAAAGCAAGGUUAGUAAUUCUUUGCAAUCAUCAAAAGGAGGGGAUCGAUUACACAGACUUUUUCACCGUUGUAAAAAUGAUAACAGUCCGCACAGUGUUAGCCGUAACAGCCACACGAGCUUGGGAAUUACAUUAGAUGGAUGUACACAAUGCAUUUUCACACGGAGACCUUAAGGAGGUUUUGUACAUGAAGCUGCCUCCUGGCUUUCUUCCUCAGCAAUAUGGCAUAGUGUAUAAAAUCAACAAGUCCUUAUAUGGACUCAAACAGAUGUCUCAUUGUUGGUUUGCCAAGCUAUCCGCUGCACUUAAACACUACGGAUUUCGGCAUUCUCUAUCUAAUUAUUCUCUUUUCGUCUUGCAAAGACCAAGGGUACAUAUUGUAGUGUUAGUGUAUGUUGAUGACCUAAUCAUUUCAGGAGAUAAUCAUGAAGCUAUCAUCAAAUGUAAAGCCUAUUUACACAAUUGCUUUCACAUGAAAGACUUGGGGAUCCUCAAAUAUUUCUUGGGUGUUGAAGUGGUGCAAUCUUCCGCGGGUAUCUUUCUUUGUCAACGCAAAUAUGCUUUGGAAAUUAUAGCCGAAACUGGACUUCUGGGAGCUGAGCCAUCAAAUGUGCCAAUUGAACAGAAUCAUCGUCUAGCACUUGCAGUAGACUUGUUUUUUCCUCAUCCUGAUCAGCAUAGGCGGUUAGUAGGUCGUCUCAUUUACCUAUGUUUUAUGAGACCCGAGCUUUCAUACUGUGUGCAUGUGUUGUCUCAAUUUAUGCAAGCACCUAAAGAGACCCAUUGGGAGGCUGCUCUCUGUGUUGUUCAAUACCUGAAAGGGAAUCCAGGACAGGGUGUUUUGUUGCGUAAGGAUUUUGACUUGCAACUAUCUAGUUUGUGUGACUCUGAUUGGGUUAGAUGUCCUUUAACUCAUAAGUCCCUUACCGGAUGAUUUGUUCUACUUGGAUCUUCUCCAAUUUCAUGGAAAACUAAGAAACAACAAACAGUAUCUCACUCCUCCACUGAGGCUGAGUAUCGAUCCAUGACAGCUGUAACAGGAGAAUUGAAACAGUUAAAAGGUCUUCUCCAUAGUCUUGGUAUCUCUCAUUCUCAGACUAUGCGACUUCAUUGUGAUAGUCAAGCAGUGCUUCAUAUUGUCAAGAACCCUGUUUUUCAUGAGCACACCAAGCACAUUCAAGUAGAUUGCCACUUCAUUCGUGAUGAGUAUCUCACUGACAAUAUUGCACCUACUUAUGUUUCUACACAUGCACGAUUAGCUGAUAUUUUUACUAAGGCUCUUGGUCCCACUCAAUUCACCUCUCUGUUGUGCAAGUUAGAGAUAUGUAAUUUAGAUGCUCAACUUGAGAAGGGUAAUGAUAUCAUGAUGAGAUAUUAGGAGAUAACAGAAUCGGUGUGAAAUUAUGUGCAAUUAUUAUAUUAUCCGGUAUUAUUAGUCUGUAAUCAUGUAAAUUAAUUUGUUUUUAGCCAAGACGUAAUCUUAGGAGUUUUAUUUGGAGAAUCAAUCUGUAUAGUUCAAUCUUAAGAGAUUUUACUAUAACCCUAUUGUAUAUAUUUAUGUCUUAGCAAAUCAUGAAAUACAUAACAGAAUUAUUCUAUCACAGAAUCCUUUAUAGUACAUGUUUGAGUUCUUGCGCAAUAUACGAUAAUAGUUGUUCUAAUGCACAAAUCUAAUGGACCAAUGUUUACUCAAACAUAGGGUUGAGAUUCAUUUGCAAACAAAUUAAUUUUUAAGAUUUUCCAUAGUUUACUCAAACACACUCAUAUUCUCUACGAUACACCAACCCAUCCAAAUAAAAUUAAAUUUGAAACAACCAAAAAGAUACAUUUUAAGAAAAGGUGAAUUUAUUUGAGAGAGAAUAAAAUUGUACAUUACAAGGUAAUUUAUUCGUGAGCCUUGAUAACAAGCUCAAAUUAUUAACAAAACAUACAAUACACAACACACACUAUUGUAUCCUGAAGCUUUGACGAAUUGUGAAAACCUCAGGUUGCGUAACCAUAACCAACGUUCCCAGCCAUCUACAAGCUGCAACUACAUUAGAGAAAACAAUGAAUCAACAUAUGCUACUUUAUAACAGCCAAAAAUGUGAUUAGUAUAUACAUGUUUAAUUUAAUUAUUUCAGUAUAGAAAUAUAACAAUUUAUCAGCUUCUGGAUAAAGUUUUUGAAAUAUAAAUAAUUAUUCUUGAUAGAUAUGCUCAUAUAUAUACCUGAAAAAUAUGUUGGAAUUUAUGAUAGGUAGGAAAGUUGUGGUCUAUGGCUUGUUGGCGAAAUGGCAACGAUGGGGAAUAGUGAUUGCGACUCUGGGAUCAACACCAACUCUCUUGAAAGCAUCAGAGGAGAAAACAGCAUAGAGGCAAGGGAUGCUUACUUCUACAAGGUCAUUGCAGCACUGUGAAGAAACAGGAGCCCACGCAUCUCGUGCAGCCUUUUCGCAGUGACGCAGUUUAUGCGUCAAAAUUCUAAGUGUGCUAAACUUGCCGCAUGGGCCAUUUUUCUCGUUUUCAUGUUCAGGAUAACCGUUGUCGUAUUCAGCAACGGCCACACUGACCAAAACCAGCAGGAACAACCCAACAAACUUGCCCAUCUUAACUAAAUGAAUUUGAUUGAUGAUUUACUCUUUUUAAGUAGCUAGCUAGUUUCAAGCUUCGAAUGCAACUCACAAAUUUAAAUUGGCUAGCACUAUGGUCUAUAUAUAUAUUGCCAGGAUUAGCUAGCUAGCCAAAUAAAUAACUGUGUACCAAAUUAAACCUGGUUCGCAAGCUAGCAUCUGGAUUUUGCAUUCUUUAGUUUCAUGGGAGAAAAGAUCGAAGCUAGAGCUGCAUGCAUGCCCGCAGAUUCUUACUAAGAGAAGAAGCACGCGAUGAUCUACCUACCUUGAUGCGUAGUUGGUAUUACAAAUUCUUACAGAUUUAAAUAAUAGAAAAACAAAUACUGUACUUUUGUACUUUUUUCAACGAUGUUAUUAUUUUCUAAUGAUAAUAUUAAUACGAAAUAGUUCUCGGUAGAAAACAGUAAUUAAUUUUUAUUAGAGAUCAUAAAUAAAUAUAAAAUAGAUUUUUUUUCUCAAUAUAAUGCAUUUCAUGUUUAAGGAUUAAUCAAGAUUUCAAUUCAAGAUUUCAAUUCUAAAUUACUUGAUUAAAACAUACCAAUUAUUACUAGUAUUUGUGUAAACAAUUACUAUAAAAGAUACUAUUUUGUUACAAGCCAUGCUGUACUUAUAAACGGUCCAUGGUUUAUUAAUAAGAUAAAUGAAGGUGACUUGGAGAGGUUGUCACAUGCAGAAGUCAAACUAGUGAUGGAAACUGAAAGUUAAUCUCAAAUGUGUUAGUUUAAGGAGGAUGCUUAUAAUAAGAGAAUUUAUCAUAAAUUUAAUUCUGAGAUUUAUUGAAAUAAAUUAAUAACAAAUUAUACGAAAGUCAUCAAGAAAAAUGUUUUACUGUACUAAUUUAAAUGAUAAAAAAUAACACAAAAUCUCGUGUAGCUGAUGCAAAACAACGUUAAUUUGUAUUCUGUCUAACAUUCUUAAUUAACAAAAUCUUGAAUUCUUCAAAGGAAAUUGCUAAAUUAAUUGGCCCCGGUAUCAUUAAACUGAAAUGUUAAUCCAUUUUAAAAUUUACCCAAAAUACAAAAGUAUAGUUUUGUUCCUAAUGCUCCAUUACAAUUAAAAAUGGAAAAAAAAAGAGAAGAAAGAAAUGGAAAAGAUACAAGUAAAAGAAAAAUAGAGUAAAAAAAUAUAAUGUUUGAAUAGAGAUAAAUAAGGAAGGACGAAGUGAACAAAAUUCUCUCCUCUUAUUUCAAUAUGUAGAUAUAUAAAUAAAUAAAUUAUACUAAAAUCAUUUUUAUAUUGAUUAAAAUUAAAUUUAAAUUCAAAUUUUUGUUACUCCAUAGUUUUUUUUUCUUCAUAUAAAUUAUUUUUAUUUAUUUUUAAUCUUCUAGAGAGUUGUUUGAUGUUCUAAAAAAAUAAAAAGAAUUCACUUUUCUCCUCCAUUCACUCAAAUUUGGGGAAAACUUGUUCAGGUCCACAAAUAAUAUAUCUCCUUAUUUUGUUUCUCUUAAAUAAAUAUUAAAAAUUUGGGGAAACAUGUUUAGGUUCACCAAAAAAAUAUAAACAGGCUAGUUCAUGGUUAGGUCUCUAAGAAGGAAGCAACAACGAAAGGUAAAUAACAGAGUAAGGACUAGCGUGUAAAAGUGAAAAUUAAGAUUUAAGAUUAAGGAGUUUGAAUUUUAUAUUUGUAUUUUGUAAAGUUAAGAGGACUUACAACAAAAAGUAAUUCUAUCCCCCACAGGUUUCUUCCCUUCUAUUUCACCACCUACCUUCUUCUUAUGAACACCCAGUUCAAUCCCUAUUUUGCAAGUACUAAGAACUGCUUGCUAGGUUUGUGCGGUGCCAUGGAAACUCUUCAUCCACCAUCUCCCCCCUCACACCCGAAACUGGAAACAAAUAUCCAUGUAGAAAUCACAGAUUUUAGCGGAGGAGCGUGCGUUGAUGAAGGUGAUGACUCCCUGCGAGAUUCUCCAUGGCCCAAGCCACAAUCCUCCAUCACGAUUAUACCCACCACGACGAUCACCGAAACCAUAGAGAGCCUUGACCUGCCUUUUGCGAGCAUCAACAACAUCCAUAGUGGUAACCAUCUUUAUCCUAGCAUGUGCUCGGUGAAGGUAACAACAUUGCGAACAACAUUCUCUAGAAAGUUAUUAUGGACUCUGCGUGUUUUUUCUUAGAAGAUGCCACUGAUUCUCUUGAUGCCGGGUUUCGUGAUGCCCUGCAUGUUGUCGCGCAACACUAUCAUGUGUCCCUUGACUCCUCCCUUUCCCAAACCCUUGCCUCACUUCCACAACCACCAUAUCCACCACUGUCACCCUUAGCACCAUAUCCACCGCCACCGUGGUUGUAUCCAUUGAAGCCACAACCUCCACCACCACCACGACUGACGCAAGUCUGCGCUUCAUUGACAAUGGUGUUCGGUUGUCAAGGUCUUAGCCGUGUAGUUCGUCGUUCACAACUCUCACUCCCUCUUGUUGCUUUUUCUUCUUUUUACCAUGCAGCAACAACAUCAUCUCUUCAAUUUGGUGAGUUCCAUUCGUGGCCUGCACCCAUUGGAACAGAAGUUAGAGUUGCUAGUGCUUCCAAGAGCCACAGCCAAGCAAAGAAAAGGCACAGGGACAGGAUCAAUGCUUUGCGACGCAGGUCACCACCCAAUCCUCUCGCCUUUCACGACGUUGAUAACCCUUGAGGGUUGUCAUUGUCAGGGCCCAAACCAACCCACAAACAAAGCAACUUCACUCAUGUUAUUCUCGAAUAUUUUGCACCAGUUGGCCAAUGAAUGGCAACAACAACCAUGACUUGUACUUCAUUAUAAAUACAACAAAUUAAAUCAUGAAUAAAACAACAUAGAAAAAUUAUGAAAUACCUGUUAGUGUAGUUAGCAUAACAUAAUUUAGUCCUAUUCGUAAUAGAGUGUGAUUCAAUUGUGAGGACCGAGGUACACAAGAAGCAACAAGGAGAGGUGUCUACAAAGGGAGAGCUCACAUGUAAAAGAGAAAAAAGAUUAAAGAUGAAGGAGCGUGAAUUUUAUAUUUACAUUUUGUAUAGUUAUUUAGAUAUAUAUAUAUAUAUAUAUAUAUAUAUAUAUAUAUAUAUAUAUAUAUAUAUAUAUAUAUAUAUAUAAUUAUUAAAACAGAUAAAGCAAUGGAUAAUUUGUUUCAUGGGGUGUGGGCUUUGUCAUUUACAAUUAGGGUCCGAUAAUAAUUAAGGGCAGAUAUUUAUUUUAAGUAUAUAUGCAAAGUAACUUAGUAAGUUGAGGGGACUGUUACCCAUAUAUAUAUAUAUAUAGUUUCUCCCCUCUUCGAACUAGAUGAUGUGUCGUAUAACAAUUGUUGUUUUUCUUGUUUUCUAAAUAUACAACAAUAAAACCUUAUUCUUGACGAAAAACAAAGAAGGGUGUUGGUAUUAAAAGGUCAAGCAUUCAAAUUUCGUCUAUAUUUUUAUGCAUUUAAAUUCAUACAAUUAAAUAUUUUUCUUGAUUUAUUGUGACCUUCGUAUAAUUUGUUAUAAAUUUAUUUAAAUAAAUCUCAGAAUUAAAUUUAUAAAUAAUGAAAUUCUCUUAUGAAAAACAUCCUCCUUAAACAAACAAGCACAUUUGAGAUAAACUUUUUAGUUUUCAAGACUAGUUUGACUUCUGUGACAACCUCCGAGCCACCUUCAUUAUUUAUAUUAUUAAUAAACCAUGGACCGUCUAAGUAUAGCAUGACGUUUCACAAAAUAGCAUCGUUGAAAAAGUAUUUAUUUUUCGAUUCUUUAUAUAUAUAUAAGAGAAAGCCUCCAUAAAAAGGACAUACAGGCUGUUGAGUAAGAUAUUAUAAUACCAACUACGUACCAAGGCUGUGCAGUGCUUCCCGAUUCAAAAUAUUCUAAGGUCUGCUUUCUUCUCUACGGUAAGAAUCUGCGGGCAUGAAGCUGUAACCCUAACUUCUCCCAUCAAUUUAAAGAAUGCCAAAUCCAGAUGCUUGUGAACAAGGUUUUGUGCAUAGUUUACUAGUUUAUCUUGCUAAUCUAGCAGUAUAUAUAGAGCAUGGUGCAAGGCAAUUUUUGUGAGUUGUAUUUCAAGCUUGAAGCUACUUAAAAAGAGUAAAUCAUCAAUCAAAUUCAUUUAGUUAAGAUGAGCAAGUUCGUUGGUGUGUUCCUGCUGCUUUUGAUCACUGUGACCGUUGCUGAAUACGACCACGGUUAUCCUGAACAUGAAAACGAGAAAAAUGGUCCAUGCGGCAAGUUUAGCACACUUAGAAUUUUGACGCAUAAACUGCGUCACUGCGAAAAGGCUGCACGAAAUGCAUGGGCUCCUGUUUCUUCACAGUGCUGCAAUGACCUUGUAGAAGUAAGCAUCCCUUGCCUCUAUGCUGUUUUCUCCUCCGAUGCUUUCAAGAGAGUUGGUGUUGAUCCCAGAGUCGCAAUCACCAUUCCCCAUCGUUGCCAUUUCUCCAACAAGCCAUAGACCACAACUUACCUACCUAUCAUAAAUGCCAAC
rnacentral:lncRNA from 1 species